GUGGGCGCUCGCUCAUCACUAGAAUCGCUCUUAGCCGUUCACCUGUCACCCCAACCAACAGCAAACCUCUUCUCCUUUCUGCUCUUCUUUCUUCACACCAUUUCACAUGCUCCAUUCCCUUUUCUGUUCCUCCUAGCACCAGGGAGCGAGGGGAUCAAAGCAAAGGCCCAACAAGCUACCUGCACAACAAGACGCCAAUGGUGAAGAUCUGCUGCAUCGGCGCGGGGUACGUCGUACGCCAACUCGACUACCGGCGCAUGUUCGACGCCAUGCACAAGCCGGCCUUCGUCUUCGACGGCCGCAACGUCGUCGACGUCGCAAUGCUCCGGGAGAUCGGCUUCGUCGUCUACUCCAUCGGGAAGCCGCUCGACGACUGGCUGUCUGGCUCAAGGACAUGCCAGCCGUCGCCUGAUAUAUAUGAUCCAUCCGGCUUACUCAUUUUAUUUCCUCGUUUGCCUGAUAGUGUUACGUUAGCUCUGUUUCUCAUCAGUUUCAUUUUUUUUCAGAACUUAAACGUUAGCUCGGUAUGCAUUUCUUCGUUGGCUUUUUUAAUUAUGUACACGAUGUUUAUUUAGCCACAUUCUUUGUUUGCUUCUUUUAAUUUUUGGGGUACUUUCUUAGAUAUGGAGAUAUUUGCGUAGUACUAAUUAAUAAGCUUUGCUUCAUUUA